rnacentral:rRNA from 2 species
AGCAUAGCGAUUUGGGAUAAGUCCCUUGGAAAAGGGCAGCAUGGAGGGUGAUACUCCCGUCUCUGCUCGGAUUGUCUGUGUGUACGAUACGCUUUCUUUGAGUCGAGUUGUUUGGGAAUACAGCUCAAAGUAGGUGGUAAAUUCCAUCUAAAGCUAAAUAUUGGUGCGAGACCGAUAGCGAACAAGUACCGUGAGGGGAAGAUGAAAAGAACUUUGAAAAGAGAGUUAAAGAGUACCUGAAACUGUUGAAAGGGAACCGUAUCGUUUCCAGUGUUCUAUCCUGUGCAUAUUUCAUUAGCGGAGCAAUUUGCUGGUGCCCUGUGCAUGGGUGUGACGUCAGAGUCAGUUUGUAUGCUGCGGGAGAUGGUCAGUGAGGAGGUGCGUCACUUCGGUGAAAGUUAUAUCUCGCUGUCUAGUAGCCGUGGUUGAGACUGAGGUGCC